rnacentral:lncRNA from 1 species
UUGAAAAUUAGCUAUUGAUGCUUUCUAGGUAGCUAUUAUGAUGAUAUUGUCAAUGCCGAAUAAGUUUUCUGAUUGUGACAACAUAUGGUAAAGGUUAGUCACUGGCUAAUGCCACAUACCCUAGGGUACAUGGGGCAAUAUGAAGCAAGAGAGUCGCUUUGAGUAAAGAACCACUUCUCUGUUGGAGUUAUUGACCACAUAGUGCCACUACUAAUUUAUUUCCAGCUUCCUCU